rnacentral:rRNA from 1 species
GUCGAACGAUGAAGCCUCACUUGUGGGGUGGAUUAGUGGCGAACGGGUGAGUAACACGUGAGCAACCUGCCCCUGACUCUGGGAUAAGCGCUGGAAACGGUGUCUAAUACUGGAUAUGAGCUCUCACCGCAUGGUGGGGGUUGGAAAGAUUUUUUGGUUGGGGAUGGGCUCGCGGCCUAUCAGCUUGUUGGUGAGGUAAUGGCUCACCAAGGCGUCGACGGGUAGCCGGCCUGAGAGGGUGACCGGCCACACUGGGACUGAGACACGGCCCAGACUCCUACGGGAGGCAGCAGUGGGGAAUAUUGCACAAUGGGCGGAAGCCUGAUGCAGCAACGCCGCGUGGGGGAUGACGGCCUUCGGGUUGUAAACCUCUUUUAGCAAGGAAGAAGCGAAAGUGACGGUACUUGCAGAAAAAGCGCCGGCUAACUACGUGCCAGCAGCCGCGGUAAUACGUAGGGCGCAAGCGUUAUCCGGAAUUAUUGGGCGUAAAGAGCUCGUAGGCGGUUUGUCGCGUCUGCUGUGAAAUCCCGAGGCUCAACCUCGGGCCUGCAGUGGGUACGGGCAGACUAGAGUGCGGUAGGGGAGAUUGGAAUUCCUGGUGUAGCGGUGGAAUGCGCAGAUAUCAGGAGGAACACCGAUGGCGAAGGCAGAUCUCUGGGCCGUAACUGACGCUGAGGAGCGAAAGGGUGGGGAGCAAACAGGCUUAGAUACCCUGGUAGUCCACCCCGUAAACGUUGGGAACUAGUUGUGGGGUCCUUUCCACGGAUUCCGUGACGCAGCUAACGCAUUAAGUUCCCCGCCUGGGGAGUACGGCCGCAAGGCUAAAACUCAAAGGAAUUGACGGGGACCCGCACAAGCGGCGGAGCAUGCGGAUUAAUUCGAUGCAACGCGAAGAACCUUACCAAGGCUUGACAUACACGAGAACACCCUA